UUUACUGUUUUCAUUUGAAUUAUGCCGAUAAUUUUGGUUGAGAACGCCCCCAUUGUCAAGCUUUAAUAUUAUUUAUAAUUUAUUGGACUUCAGUAUUCAUUUGCUAUUGAUUUCGAAGGGUGAUAAGAUAUAAGUUCCUUGUUUUAGUUUUAAGCACCAUUAACAUAAUAAAUGCCACAAAACUAUUUUAAACGAUAGCCAAACAAAUU